rnacentral:tRNA from 1 species
GAGGGUAUAGCUCAGUGGUUAGAGCGUGUGCUUAGCACACAAGGUCCUGGGUUCGAUCCCCAAUCCCUCCA